rnacentral:tRNA from 1 species
AGAAAUUUAGGUUAACCCAAACCAGGAGCAUUCAAAGCCCCAAACACGAUGCCACUCUCGUAAUUUCUG